rnacentral:rRNA from 1 species
UACAGAGGGGGCAAGCGUUGUUCGGAAUUACUGGGCGUAAAGGGCGCGUAGGCGGCCUUCUAAGUCGAACGUGAAAUCCCUGGGCUCAACCCAGGAACUGCGUCCGAUACUGGGAGGCUUGAAUCCGGGAGAGGGAUGCGGAAUUCCAGGUGUAGAGGUGAAAUUCGUAGAUAUUCGCAAGAACACCGGUGGCGAAGGCGGAUCUCUGGGCCUGUCCUGACGCUGAGGCGCGAAAGCUAGGGGAGCGAACAGG